rnacentral:rRNA from 1 species
CAGUAGCCGCGGUAAUACGGAGGGAGCUAGCGUUGUUCGGAGUUACUGGGCGUAAAGCGCGCGUAGGCGGUUACUCAAGUCAGAGGUGAAAGCCCGGGGCUCAACCCCGGAACUGCCUUUGAAACUAGGUGACUAGAAUCUUGGAGAGGUCAGUGGAAUUCCGAGUGUAGAGGUGAAAUUCGUAGAUAUUCGGAAGAACACCAGUGGCGAAGGCGACUGACUGGACAAGUAUUGACGCUGAGGUGCGAAAGCGUGGGGAGCAAACAGGAUUAGAGACCCCAGUAGUCCCUGUCUCUUAUAU